rnacentral:rRNA from 1 species
UACGGGGGGAGCAAGCGUUGUUCGGAUUUACUGGGCGUAAAGGGCGCGUAGGCGGCCUGUGCAAGUCAGUUGUGAAAUCUCCGGGCUUAACUCGGAACGGUCAACUGAUACUGCUCGGCUAGAGUGCGGAAGGGGCAACUGGAAUUCUUGGUGUAGCGGUGAAAUGCGUAGAUAUCAAGAGGAACACCUGCGGCGAAGGCGGGUUGCUGGGCCGACACUGACGCUGAUGCGCGAAAGCGUGGGGAGCGAACAGG